rnacentral:rRNA from 1 species
GACGAACGCUGGCGGCGUGCUUAACACAUGCAAGUCGAACGAAAAGGCCCUGCUUUUGUGCGGUGCUCGAUUGGCGAACGGGGGUGUAACACGUGAGUAACCUGCCCUUAUCUUUGUGAUAACUUCAGGAAACUGGGGCUAAUACCGGAUAGGAUCUCCUGCUGCGUGUGGUGGGUUGGUAAGUUUCGGCGGUUGUGGAUGGACUCGCGGCUUAUGCGCUUGCUUGUGGGGUAGUGGCUUACCAAGGGUUUGACGGGUAGCCUGCCUGGGAGGGUGACCGGCGACAUUGGGACUGAGAUACGGCGCAGUCUGCUACGUGCGGCAACAGGGGAGAAUCUUGCACAAUGGGGGGAAGUCUGAGGCAGAGACGCUCGGUGCGGGAUGACCGGUUACGGGGUGAAAACCGCUUUGGACGGUGACGAACAGGGCGUGACGGUACUGGGUAAAGAAGCACCGGCUAACUACGUG